rnacentral:rRNA from 1 species
UACAGAGGUCCCAAGCGUUGUUCGGAUUCACUGGGCGUAAAGGGUGCGUAGGUGGUGAGGUAAGUCGGAUGUGAAAGCUCGGAGCUCAACUCCGAAAUGGCAUUGGAAACUACCUUGCUCGAGGGUUGGAGGGGGGACUGGAAUACUUGGUGUAGCAGUGAAAUGCGUAGAUAUCAAGUGGAACACCAGUGGCGAAGGCGAGUCCCUGGACAACUCCUGACACUGAGGCACGAAGCUAGGGGAGCAAACAGG